UGUUGAACAUAUAUCUUUCAACCUAAUCUUACUCGGAAUUGCCAAUUUCAUAAUGAAUCACUCGAGACAUACAUAAUUUACAUGAAUAUCGUAUGAUUCAAUUCUAAGAGAAGGGUUUAGCCAACAUACCUCAAUUGAGCUUCCUUAAACUCUAAAACGUUUCGGAAUUCUUAGAAACUUCAAUCUAUUUUAGAAAUAUAACAAAUUGAAUAAAAAUUAGGAAGAUAAUCAUAGUUCUAGCUCAUUUGAGCAUUUUAUCAAACACUAGGUGUGCACAAGGUUUCAAGGUCCUUAUAUGGAGGAUUCCAUCGUCCCACAACCCAAUCUUUACCAUGCUUAGUUCAACAAUCGUUUUACACCCCUUGAUAUCACAUGCAUGUAAAAUAAUUAACUCUCAUUCCCAAAACUUAUCUUGCUAAUUACCCAUAUUCUGAUGAUUUCAAAAUUAGGGUUUAGGGUGUAGAAUCUUACCUCUAGGAUGAAGACCUAGUGAGCUUGCCUUCUUAAUCGUCCAAAACUUGAGCAAGAAUUAAAGAAUAAUUAUUGAAGAACACCUUUUCACUCUAGGGCACUCUCUCGCACUCUAAAAUUUCAGAUUAUAUCUCAAAAAUGGCCCAAAACGUGUAUUUAACGAAGUAGGGUCGGGUUUAAAAACCCAAAAAUGAAGCUCCGGAACAGGUUCUGCAGUCGCAUAUACGACCGCAUAAUGGUUAUGCGGAUCGCAUAUCGGUAGCAUAAUUGGUGUCCAAAAUGACCAAAUAUCUAUCUGAGUCUACGGUCACUAUGCGUUCCGCAUAACUGUUCUGCGGUCGCAUAGUGCACCACAUAACAGUUAUGUGGUCGCAUAGUCGACCGCAUAAUUGCUUUCAAUUGACCCAAUAAUCUGCCUCACUCUACGGCCAUUAUGCAGUCCGCAGAGUGCACCACAUAACAGUUAUGUGGUCGCAUAGUCGACCACAUAAUUGCUUUCAAUUGACCCAAUAAUCUGCCUCACUCUGCGGCCAUUAUGCAGUCCGCAGAGUGAUUCCGUGGUUGCAUAAUGAACGACAGAAAUGCACUUAGGAUCAUUCGUCCUCGAAUGAGGGUAAAAAUUUGUUAUUAGCAUCUUAUGCAACUCAGUUUUUCAUACCACACACCAGCAGCCCCAAAUUUUAGUAACUCCCUAAAUUUCCAAAAAUUUCGCCAGAGUUUCCUCUGUAACUAGGCAUAUCCACAUGUCAGAGAACCCCAGAAACAUAUCCUAACAACAUAUAGGU
rnacentral:lncRNA from 1 species